rnacentral:rRNA from 1 species
UACGGGGGGUGCGAGCGUUGUCCGGAAUCACUGGGCGUAAAGGGCGCGUAGGUGGUUUGAUAAGGGUGUGGUGAAAGUCCGGGGCUCAACCCCGGAUCUGCCGUGCCGACUGUCAAACUCGAGGACUGUAGAGGCAGACGGAAUUCCCGGUGUAGCGGUGAAAUGCGUAGAGAUCGGGAGGAACACCAGUGGCGAAGGCGGCUACCUGGACCAGCACUGACACUGAGGCACGAAAGCGUGGGGAGCAAACAGG